AGAGGAGAAGACAGCUCCUCAGAUGGAAUAAACCCACUGCAUUAAUGCUGAAAGCAAUGAGCAGUUAACAUAUGUCAAGAUAUCAGCUUCUUAAGAGGGCUAUGUGAGACCAAACAAAAUCAAGACAGAGAAUAUUGGACACUGAUAGUCAGGUAAACACACGGUGAGAAGGCAGGUAUUUACAAGCCAGGAAGAGAGCCCUCGCCAGAAACUAAGCUGACAACAGUCUUGACCUUGGACUUUCAGCCUCCAAAACCGUGAGAAAAUAAAUGUCUGUUGUUUAAGCCACCCA
rnacentral:lncRNA from 10 species